rnacentral:rRNA from 1 species
UACGUAGGGGCCGAGCGUUGUCCGGAUUCAUUGGGCGUAAAGGGUGCGUAGGCGGCCAUUCAAGUGACGGGUGAAAGCCCUCGGCUUAACCGAGGAACUGCCUGUCAGACUGGAUGGCUUGAGACCGGGAGAGGGAAGUGGAAUUCCUGGUGUAGCGGUGAAAUGCGCAGAUAUUGGGAGGAACACCAAUGGCGAAGGCAGCACCCUGGGCCGGUACUGACGCUGAGGAGCGAAAGCGUGGGGAGCAAACAGGG